UACGGAGGGUGCAAGCGUUAUCCGGAUUCACUGGGUUUAAAGGGUGCGUAGGCGGGCAGGUAAGUCAGUGGUGAAAUCUCCGAGCUUAACUCGGAAACUGCCAUUGAUACUAUUUGUCUUGAAUAUUGUGGAGGUAAGCGGAAUAUGUCAUGUAGCGGUGAAAUGCUUAGAUAUGACAUAGAACACCAAUUGCGAAGGCAGCUUACUACACAAUGAUUGACGCUGAGGCACGAAAGCGUGGGGAUCAAACAGG
rnacentral:rRNA from 1 species